rnacentral:lncRNA from 1 species
AUACUUUGUUCUUCCCCUGGCCGCAGGGACUCCAUUGUCUGCGGGAGCACAAAAGCCCGCACAUCCUGACGAAGAAACACUUCAGACGAAGUGCAUGUAAUAUGCAGGCUAGAAGAUAUGUGUGCAAAUGCAGAUGAAACUUACUGACCAAGGGACACCAGGAGGGACACGAAAACCUAGAGAACUAAGUGGGCAAGAUGCCCAGGCAGCGGACAGAAGACAGAGAUGAACAAAAUCCAAAGAGCCACCUGGGGAACAGAUGGGGACCGGGCACCAGAAUACUCUUCCCAAAUCAAAUGGAAAUCAGGAAGCCUGUCCAAAGAUUUGAGGGACAGGGAGAGUGAGCAACGCAGAGGGAAUCAUGACCAAUAAGCUCCUUUCCUGAAGAACGUGGCUAAAGCAGGUCCAGGCACAAUGGGGGUUCCUGUUAAAUGUUUAUAAUAUGUUCAACCAGUUCUAGUGGGAAAUCUCAAAGGAUACUACAAUUUUCAACCUUAAAAUACCCUUUUUCUUCAGUGGGUAUAUUUGUUUUUAAGAAGCCAAGUACAAUAAAAUAUUCAUCGUG